GCUAACUCCGUGCCAGCAGCCGCGGUAAUACGGAGGAUCCGAGCGUUAUCCGGAAUUAUUGGGUUUAAAGGGUCCGUAGGCGGGAGAAUUAGUCAGUGGUGAAAGUCUGUGGCUCAACCAUAGAAUUGCCGUUGAAACUGUUUUCCUUGAGUCAUUAUGAAGUGGUUAGAACAUGUAGUGUAGCGGUGAAAUGCAUAGAUAUUACAUAGAAUACCGAUUGCGUAGGCAGAUCACUAAUAAUGUACUGACGCUGAGGGACGAAAGCGUAGGUAGCGAACAGGAUUAGAUACCCUUGUAGUC
rnacentral:rRNA from 1 species